UGUAGUUUAAAGAUGGUGGCUAUUCAGUACAUACCGGUCGAUUGUUUAGUGGUUUAGUUUAUAAUAAAAAUUAACAAACGCUACCAUCAAGUAUUUCUUAAAUAUUUCCAAAUUGUGUCAAAGUGGAAAGUGUAAUUUCAAAAUAAACCCUAAAUACAAUUAAAAAUUAAGUUAAUUUAAAAAUUUUCCAAAGCAUCAUUUUAAUUCGAUUUUUUUCCCUUAUUUUUUGACCUGGAACCUGGAAGGAAGUCGUAAUAUUACCAGAGACUUGAAUUAAAGGAUCGAGUGUUAGAGAACAAGAGCAAGGAGUUGGAUGAUGUCAGAGCUAGGAACAUUGUGGUGACCUAGCAUCCUCAUUUUAGGGCCGACCUUCGAUGCUUAAGCUACGCUUGGUGUCAACUCACUUUUUAAAACAGCCAUAGACAGUGCCCUGAGCCUGGCAAAAGGGCCUAUGAUGUGCCGCGAUUGGGACAUGAACCCGCGAAAAUUUUACAUUUCACCAUUUGUAAUAAUUGUCUAGACAAACAAUAUAGACAGAAGCGCAAACAUAAAAAAGAUAUUUCCACAAAAUAGUUCCUGGUUGAUCAGGAACUACAAAAUUUAUAAUCACGUCUACGUACGGGCUUCUCCUCAUCAAAUUUCACAAUUUUCAUCUACCGCGAAUUAAAAAAAGAAAAACAUUCACUAGUCGAUAAAAAAAAGUAUAAAUAAUGUAAAGGGAACAUUUUUCAUUUUUGAUCAAAUGAUUUUUUUCGUCUCACACUUUUUGAAAAAAUAAACCCGACUCGGAAAGAGAAUCCAAAAUUUGAAUUUUUUUUCUUUGAGAAAAAUUUGGAUUUUUCGUUGAUAAAGAGAGAGAGAAAAAGAGAAACAAUUAAGGAAACUUUUUUAGUAAAGGGACACUUGGUACGGAAUCAGCUUUCAGGCUGAGCGCGUACGCCAACCUGUGGAGGGUAGCGAGAGAGUGUAUUUGCGGCAGUGGGUCGCGGUGCAGAAAAAGUGGGAUGAGACGACCUCAGCAGGAGCCUGAACAACACAAUCAUCAUGGAAUCACAACGAAUCAGAUGCAUGAAAAGGACGAAUCACGCUUGACGAGAGUGAAACGCGCGCUGACUGGAUCGCUUUUGGGCCGAGGAUCAUCGGGAUCGAAUCGAGUGUUUGGCGUGCCAUUGGAGACGAGCGACACGUAUUUAGACUCUGGAGUGCCAUUUGUCGUCUAUCGUCUUUGCACGUACAUCGAGAAUCAUGGCUUUAAUUGUUCAAGUGUAUUUCGAUUAUCGGGUGGUAAUCCACGACUUGCCGAACGGCUGCGAUUGAGAUUCGAGCAUCGCGGUGAUGCCGAUCUCGAGAAUGCCGCAUGUCCAUCGACAGCGGCCACAAUUCUCCGUCAAUAUCUCAAGGAACUUCCGAGUCCACUCGUCACAACGACACUCGUCGAUGGACUUCUCCAAGUUUAUAAUCAAUAUUAUGCGGUAGAUCGGGAAUCUUGGAUCAAGGGAACGAAGGAAUUGAUCUCGACUUUGCCGCCAUGUAAUUAUCGACUGCUCGGCUUUUUGGCGCAUUAUUUCAAUAAAUAUGAAAGACUACACGAGAGGAAUGCGGGUAUUUCUUUGGUUUUUGCCCCCGUAAUUUUGCCCCACGUUCCGCCGGCGACGAAUCUUCUCAAUGAUAUUAUUCAAGAUGCCGAGGUUCUCUUUGCGGAUUGCAAAAGAGUUAGUGGACUAUUUGAUUGCAAAGUGUGCAAGGAUUUAAAGAACGAACAAGAAGAGUCCUUCGAGGAUUCGUCGCCUGAUUGUGCACCGAAACCGGCGAAAAGAAAAGAUCGCCGUCAAUCCUGUUGUUUGGAAAGAAAACUAAUAAGAAGUAACAGCGAGGAGAGAAUUUUCGAGAAUACGAAAAGUCAAUCCGACAUACGACGGGUCAGUAGUCACGAGGAUUUUAAUAGUUCAAAGCACCUUCAUACUCUGUCCCAAGUGCCAUCCGAAAUGGGCCACGGAAUGAGAUGUGGCGGACUGCCGCUUUACGAGAGGACAAACGUCUCGCCAGUGUCGGCGAAGUCAUCGCCAACGUCAACCCCAUGCGACGUUGUCCUUGCCGCCGAGAGAUUCGAAUGCGACGCGGAACGCUUGCGGAGCAGCGAGAGAUUCAGUCGAAGCGUCACCCCACGAGGCCGAAGACAAAUUCGCCGACGACGAGUUCACAAAAGUUCCGAUUUUAACCAAGAAGCCAGUAAGGAAAAUGAGGAGAAUCCGGAGAAUUAUUCAGGACCGAAGAGUCCAAAUUUAAAUUCGUCAGGUCCGAGUUUUUUGGAAAUGUUGAGCGGCGGUCCAAGUAGAUCACCAUCGCCGGCACGUCCGCCAAUUGUCGAGCACGAGGACUCGAAUAAUCCCACACUGACGAAUUGGGGAUUUCAACAUCACACCGGAAACGAAGAAGAUACGAAUGCCCGAGUGGAGGCAAUGCUAUCGCCUCGCAAUUCCCUUCUAAUUCCCCGUCGUUUCUAUUCAGAGGACGACGAUCAACACGACGCGCCUAAUGCCAACGACGUGAGUCUAAAAAAUCUCGCCAAACACAUAAGCAGCUUAAAGAAAAAAAUCAAACGCUACGAGGAUGAAUUUGAAAUGAAUUUUGGCUAUCGGCCAAGUAAUUCCGACAAAAUGAGUAAUCGUGAUGUGAAAAAAUUGUGCACCGAAUUAAAUAAAUUACGCAAGGAGCAUAAAUUAUUGAAGAACGAUAUUGUUGGAUUAUUGACGCGCGACAAUGAUAAUAAAUUACAGAUUAAUGAAAAUCCAACGAAUAACAAUAAUACAACAACAACAAGUGCAACUAGUCUGGAUAGUAAGACGAGGAAGACAAAUAUGGAGGAGUACGUUAAGGAUAUUGAGAGGAAAUUAAAUGAUAAACGAAUUAAAUUUAAUCGCGAUGAAAAUAUGGAGGAUUUAAGUUACGAGCAAUUGAUGGACGAGAAAAUUUCCGUACAAAAGGCAUUGUUGCAUAUUGAAAAUGUUUUUGGACGCGCUGUCUCCAAGGAGGAUCGCGUUAUUGUUAGGCCAUUGUAUGAUAAAUAUCGAACGCUCAAGAGGCACUUGAUUCGAGCCGGCGCGAAUAAGAAUAAAGACAGUAUGUCGGAAUUGGCGACAAUUUUGGAGCACGAGGCGAUGGAUUUUACGUCGUCGUUCUUGCCUGGAAAUCCAGCGGACGGAGAGAGAAGAGCAAGUGAGCCGGACAUGUCGCAUCGAGGAAUUUUGGAUUGCAUCGAAACUGAUCAAUUUCCAACGGACAGUGAUAGUCAACACAGUAGCAGUGAAGGAAGUCGAGGAGCCGGGGAGAGUCUUCAUUCCUUGCCACAGGACGAAUUAUUGGCACAACAACGAGCAACGAGAGAAGAAAAGAAACGUCUUCGUCGGGCACUAAAAGAAUUGGAGGUGCAAUUUGAAGCGAGAGCCGGUCGCCGAAUGCAGAGAGAAGAUCGAGGACCCCAAGUACUUAUGAUUUAUGAGACUUAUAAGCGAACGAAAGCAAAAUUGCGUUUAAUUGACGCCCUCGUGGCGAAAAAAGCCUGACGGAGUCUUUAAAAAUUCUUGCGAACAAAGAAAAUACUUUAUUUCAACAUUUUUCUUUCCUGGACUCAUUUUUUCGUGCCCGAAAGAAAAAAAACGAAAAACAAGCGAAAUAAGAGAAAAUAUCAAACGUUGGAAUAUUAAUAAGAAUAUUAUUAAGUGUUACGACCAUAUAAACAAUAAAAUUGUAACAUUAAUAUUAGAAACUUUUUUGCGUUCUUUAAAAAGUAAAACUCAAUAAGAAUAAAUCGAACAUUCGAAAAAAGAAAUUUGGCCGCUUUUUGAAAUUAAAGAAUAAUUCUAGAAUUAGGAUAAAAAUAAAGAAAACGAAAUAAAAAUUCUGCUACGUUUCCGAAUUAUAUUCGGAAAGAAACUAUGGAAAUAUUGAAAUAAUUUUCAACUUGUUAUUCUAGUGAUAUAAUUUUGUUUCGCAAUUUUUACGGUGCUACCUGAAACUUAAUCUAAUUAACAUCUCCGUUAUUAAUUACAAUUAUAUUUUUUUAUCCAAAAGCUAAUUUUCAAUUUUUCAAAAACUUUUUCUUGAAAC